UUUCAUAAACAACGAACCAUAUUUACACACGUGUAUGUUGAAUUAUGCAGACUAUCGUUUUUAUCAAUGUUUAUUUAGACGUGUUUACAAACUUGCUAAGCUGUUCCAGCUAAACUGUUACCGGUAAAGUUUGUUCUCAUGAUCAAACUCAAGAAACUCUAAGUACAGAUGAUUUGUUUAACGUUAUAUGUAUUUUACUGUUGUUUUUACUUGAAGCUUUCUUAGAUUUUGAAACGAAGUAAACACGUAAUGUGUGUUGCUAAUGUUGGGCCAUGUAAUACAUUAACGUUUUAAUGAAUAGUCUAACGAUUUAUAAUCGUUGUACUCUAUUGUUAUAAUAUGUCUUUUUGACUGAAUACAUGUUUGUUUUAUUUGUCUAUAUCCUAGAUUCGCAGCUGGACACAUCAUUCUACACUGUAUGCAAACAUGCAACAUCAUUACACACAGUACAAGGAGUCAGACUGGCAUAUGAGGAGCAAAGGAACCCAGGCAGUAGCAUCGUUUCACAAUGUUUCAAUCACCAUCAUCAGUGGAUGCCUUUGCCGUCCGUACCCUGAGAUUUCAGAUUUGCAGCAAAAAAUUUGACUUUCCCAUUUAUUGGAAUGCUGUGCAGGCUGUACCUUGCAGCCAUCCAUUACAAUGUCACCAAGCCGUAACAAAAGCAGGAGAGGGAAAGUACAAGGCUAUGUUCCCAAAACACACAAGUGACAUACUGUAAGUGAAGA